rnacentral:rRNA from 1 species
GCUUACAAGUAGUCAGAGCCCGUUAAUGGGUGAUGGCGUGCCUUUUGUAGAAUGAACCGGCGAGUUACGAUUUGAUGCAAGGUUAAGCAGUAAAUGUGGAGCCGUAGCGAAAGCGAGUCUGAAUAGGGCGUUUAGUAUUUGGUCGUAGACCCGAAACCAGGUGAUCUACCCUUGGUCAGGUUGAAGUUCAGGUAACACUGAAUGGAGGACCGAACCGACUUACGUUGAAAAGUGAGCGGAUGAACUGAGGGUAGCGGAGAAAUUCCAAUCGAACCUGGAGAUAGCUGGUUCUCUCCGAAAUAGCUUUAGGGCUAGCCUCAAGUGAUGAUUAUUGGAGGUAGAGCACUGUUUGGACGAGGGGCCCCUCUCGGGUUACCGAAUUCAGACAAACUCCGAAUGCCAAUUAAUUUAACUUGGGAGUCAGAACAUGGGUGAUAAGGUCCGUGUUCGAAAGGGAAACAGCCCAGACCACCAGCUAAGGUCCCAAAAUAUAUGUUAAGUGGAAAAGGAUGUGGCGUUGCCCAGACAACUAGGAUGUUGGCUUAGAAGCAGCCAUCAUUUAAAGAGUGCGUAAUAGCUCACUAGUCGAGUGACACUGCGCCGAAAAUGUACCGGGGCUAAACAUAUUACCGAAGCUGUGGAUUGUCCUUUGGACAAUGGUAGGAGAGCGUUCUAAGGGCGUUGAAGCAUGAUCGUAAGGACAUGUGGAGCGCUUAGAAGUGAGAAU